UACGUAGGGACCAAGCGUUGUUCGGAUUUACUGGGCGUAAAGGGCGCGUAGGCGGCGCGGUAAGUCACUUGUGAAAUCUCUGAGCUUAACUCAGAACGGCCAAGUGAUACUGCAGUGCUAGAGUGUGGAAGGGCAAUCGGAAUUCUUGGUGUAGCGGUGAAAUGCGUAGAUAUCAAGAGGAACACCUGAGGUGAAGACGGGUUGCUGGGCCAACACUGACGCUGAGGCGCGAAAGCCAGGGGAGGCAAACGGG
rnacentral:rRNA from 1 species